AUGGGAGGAGCAAGCGCAGGUGGACGUGCUGCGGAGAGUCCCGCCGCGGGGACAUCUGGCUCGCCUCACACGCUGGAAACAGAGCUCUUGAGGAGGUUCGAACCACUGGAUUACGCGAGUUCUCGAACCAUGGCAACACUCCCAAGAACACAGAUGCCUCCCAGCGGCCAGCUGAUAUCCGUGCCUCACAAGGAUACAAUGCGUCUGCUGGAGGUCUACGUCAAGCGCAGCCUCAGCCUCAACGACGGGGCGCUGGGCAGCAAGAGGGCCGGCGGGAAAGAAAAGUGGGUGACCAUGCCGACGAAGCUAAGGCGACAUUCCAGCGACCCGUCGCUUCACCUGGCCGAGGGGUCGGAACAGCAAAGCGGCCCGUGUUCGGCAGCCGAACCCGCCCCGGACCGGCCCGAGGCUUGUCCGGAGGAACCCGAGAAAACGGUGAAAAAGCCCAAGAAGAACAAGAAGCCCUCUCUGUGGAAAAGCUUCCUGGGUAUUUUCUCCCGGAGGCCUAGCGAGGAGAAAGACGAAGAGCAGGACGGCGCGUCGGAGAUGGCCGAGGGCCCCUCGGCGGCGGCGGCGGCCUCCGACGACACGACCACCUGCCUGCCCACAAUUCAGGUCUCUGCACAGAAGAAGAAAUCGUCGAGGAGUAAAUCCCUCAGGAGAAGGUUCUCCAAAAGGCGAUCGCUGACGAAAAUAAACAAACUCAGUAAAGACGUCAACCACGCCGACAUCACGCGGGUCGAAGCUGUGGAAUCGACGUAUCACUACUACGAGACGGUGUCACAGGAGCUGGAGAAAAUUGUCCACGAGGUUCAGGAAAACGAGGAAGUUGUCCCCCUCUCUGACGUGGAGGUAAUGAACAGGAUCAUUGCCUUGACGAAGGAGGAGGGUGACGCCAUAGAUUGCAAGCUGAGAGACAACCCCACGCUGAGCAACUUCUUCAACGGGAUGUCGUACUCCGCCUUCCAGAAGUUGGCCGACGCCUACCUGGAGACGGAGGCGACGCCGACCCAUAACCCUCCCACCGUCCUGCCGACGGCACCCGAGCUGGUCAAGUUGGCCUUCACGCUGGACUUCACGGCCCGGAUAGCCGGGCUCUCCAGACAGAACGUGGGACACAUCACCGGCCUGGGGAACCGCUAUCUCCACGACCGAUUCAAGUACCAGCAGGCGUGUUCCGAUCACCCAGGGUCAGACAGCGACGACUGA
ensembl:lncRNA